rnacentral:ribozyme from 12 species
AGCAACAAGAGAAAAGAAAACGAUGAACCAAAAAAGAGAUUUUCUUUUUGUGGUUGUUGUAUUUCGAGUUCCUUUUUUCUUCGUUUUUUUUUUUUUCGUGUCUUUCAUUUUCUC